rnacentral:rRNA from 1 species
GACAGAGGGUGCAAACGUUGCUCGGAAUCACUGGGCGUAAAGGGUGCGUAGGCGGCGCGGUAAGUCGGGUGUGAAAUCUCGGAGCUUAACUCCGAAACUGCAUUCGAUACUGCCGUGCUUGAGGACUGGAGAGGAGACUGGAAUUUACGGUGUAGCGGUGAAAUGCGUAGAUAUCGUAAGGAAGACCAGUGGCGAAGGCGGGUCUCUGGACAGUUCCUGACGCUGAGGCACGAAGGCCAGGGGAGCAAACGGG